GAUGAACGCUGGCGGCGUGCCUAAUACAUGCAAGUCGAGCGAACAGACGAGGAGCUUGCUCCUCUGACGUUAGCGGCGGACGGGUGAGUAACACGUGGAUAACCUACCUAUAAGACUGGGAUAACUUCGGGAAACCGGAGUUAAUACCGGAUAAUAUAUUGAACCGCAUGGUUCAAUAGUGAAAGACGGUUUUGCUGUCACUUAUAGAUGGAUCCGCGCCGCAUUAGCUAGUUGGUAAGGUAACAGCUUACCAAGGCAACGAUGCGUAGCCGACCUGAGAGGGUGAUCGGCCACACUGGAACUGAGACACGGUCCAGACUCCUACGGGAGGCAGCAGUAGGGAAUCUUCCGCAAUGGGCGAAAGCCUGACGGAGCAACGCCGCGUGUGUGAUGAAGGUCUUCGGAUCGUAAAGCUCUGUUAGUAGGGAAGAACAAAUGUGUAAGUAAAUAUGCACGUCUUGACGGUACCUAAUCAGAAAGCCACGGCUAACUACGUG
rnacentral:rRNA from 1 species